rnacentral:rRNA from 1 species
CGAACCGAGCGAACGUUGUUCGGAAUCACUGGGCUUAAAGGGCGCGUAGGCGGGCUGUCGCGUCCGGGGUGAAAUCCCGCGGCUCAACCGCGGAACGGCCUCGGAUACGGGCGGCCUCGAGGGGGGUAGGGGCAUCUGGAACUGUGAGUGGAGCGGUGAAAUGCGUUGAUAUUCACAGGAACUCCGGUGGCGAAGGCGAGGUGCUGGACCCCAUCUGACGCUGAGGCGCGAAAGCCAGGGGAGCGAACGGGAUUAGAUACCCCGGUAGUCCUGGCCCUAAACGAUGGGUACUAGGUAGUAGGCCGGACAUGGGCUUACUGCCGGAGCCAAAGUGCUAAGUACCCCGCCUGGGGAGUAUGGUCGCAAGGCUG